rnacentral:rRNA from 1 species
AAUAGAUACCCCGGUAGUCCACGCCGUAAACGAUGAGUGCUAAGUGUUAGAGGGUUUCCGCCCUUUAGUGCUGCAGCUAACGCAUUAAGCACUCCGCCUGGGGAGUACGGCCGCAAGGCUGAAACUCAAAGGAAUUGACGGGGGCCCGCACAAGCGGUGGAGCAUGUGGUUUAAUUCGAAGCAACGCGAAGAACCUUACCAGGUCUUGACAUCCUCUGCCAACCCUAGAGAUAGGGCAUUCCCCUUCGGGGGGACAGAGUGACAGGUGGUGCAUGGUUGUCGUCAGCUCGUGUCGUGAGAUGUUGGGUUAAGUCCCGCAACGAGCGCAACCCUUGAUCUUAGUUGCCAGCAUUCAGUUGGGCACUCUAAGGUGACUGCCGGUGACAAACCGGAGGAAGGUGGGGAUGACGUCAAAUCAUCAUGCCCCUUAUGACCUGGGCUACACACGUGCUACAAUGGAUGGUACAAAGAGCUGCGAACCCGCGAGGUAAGCGAAUCUCAUAAAGCCAUUCUCAGUUCGGAUUGU